rnacentral:rRNA from 1 species
GACGAACGCUGGCGGCGUGCUUAACACAUGCAAGUCGAACGGAAAGGCCCUGCUUUUGUGGGGUGCUCGAGUGGCGAACGGGUGAGUAACACGUGAGUAACCUGCCCUUGACUUUGGGAUAACUUCAGGAAACUGGGGCUAAUACCGGAUAGGAGCUCCUGCUGCAUGGUGGGGGUUGGAAAGUUUCGGCGGGUGGGGAUGGACUCGCGGCUUAUCAGCUUGUUGGUGGGGUAGUGGCUUACCAAGGCUUUGACGGGUAGCCGGCCUGAGAGGGUGACCGGCGACAUUGGGACUGAGAUACGGCCCAGACUCCUACGGGAGGCAGCAGUGGGGAAUAUUGCACAAUGGGCGGAAGCCUGAUGCAGCAACGCCGCGUGCGGGAUGACGGCCUUCGGGUUGUAAACCGCUUUCGCCUGUGACGAAGCGUGAGUGACGGUAAUGGGUAAAGAAGCACCGGCUAACUACGUG